GCCUUGCUAGCUCAAUCGGUAGAGCGUGAGACUCUUACAAAGCAAGUCUUCACUUGUAUCUCAAGGUUGCGGGUUCGACCCCCGCGUGAGGCU